rnacentral:tRNA from 1 species
GGCUCAGUGGUCCAAUGGUAAAGCGCUCGAAACAGAAGGUUCUGGGUUCGAUCCCCAACAGGGUCG